rnacentral:misc_RNA from 1 species
GUCAGGAAUUCAAAAUCAAGUGCUUGGGUGUUUCUUAAACCAUUCACCGUGGAGAUGUGGUGUGUCACAGCAGCAUCUUUUGUAAUGAUUGCCGUGGUUAUUUGGGUUCUUGAACAUCGAGUUAAUGAUGAUUUCAGGGGUCCUCCUAGAAAGCAGAUUGUGACAAUGUUCAUGUUCAGCUUCUCAACACUAUUCAAGGCAAAUC